AACGAACGCUGGCGGCAGGCCUAACACAUGCAAGUCGGACGAGAAGGUUCCUUCGGGAACUGGAGAGUGGCGCACGGGUGAGUAACGCGUGGGGACCUACCUCUUAGUGGGGGAUAACGGUUGGAAACGACCGCUAAUACCGCAUACGCCCUUCGGGGGAAAGAUUUAUCGCUAAGAGAUGGACCCGCGUUGGAUUAGAUAGUUGGUGAGGUAAUGGCUCACCAAGUCAGCGAUCCAUAGCUGGUUUGAGAGGAUGAUCAGCCACACUGGGACUGAGACACGGCCCAGACUCCGUACGGGAGCAGCAGGUGGGGAAUAUGGACAAGUGGGGCAACCGAAUCCAGCCAUGCCGCGUGAGUGAAGAGGCCUUGGGUGUAAGCUCUUCAGAUGCGAAGAUGAUGACGGUACAUC
rnacentral:rRNA from 1 species